rnacentral:lncRNA from 1 species
UUUUUAUUUUCAAACAAUCCACUUUAAAACUCUGCCGCUUACAAAAUAUUUGGAAGGGCUAGAUGUACAAGCUUCAGACUGAGGCUCCAGGGUUAACCCAGAAUAAUCAACAGAAAAUUUAGUUACUAGGUGACCUCAGGUGGAACUUUGGGAGGCCAUAGCUAUUAGUGUUGACUGCAGGGAUUCCAUCACUUCUAUGAGAUAUAGCUACCUCCAUAAAAUCUAUUUUGUGACAUUCGUGAUGAAUCACGGCCCUACUAUGAACACUGCUAUUAUUGCCAGAAGCAACAGUCGAAACAACAGAAAUGUGGAUUCUGACUUAUUUCUGCAUUCCACAUCAUACAGGAGGGCAUCUGAUUGACACAAGGAUCAGGUCCCCAAGCUAACUUCUGGAGGAAAUCUGAAUGCCUAGGUAUCAGAAUGCUGUUGUAAUUUUAUGAACAAGCAGGUUGCAUGAUGGAAGCCAUAUUUUCGGUGCAUCAUUCUAAAGCAGUAUGAAGCAGGAAAUGGAGGGUAAAGAAAGAAAGGCUAUGGAGGCAAAGAAUAACAAAGCCUGAUGUGGAAAUGGCCAAAAGUUAAAAGAAUAUAAAUUUCACAUUAACUGGUACUAGCAGAAAAGGGUGGAGAUUCUACCCCUUUGGAGUAAGAGUCUUUCUUGUCUUUUCAAUGUUCUAAUGAUAUAUUUGGUGGCAAUAUAUCAUUGGUUUUAAAAAGACUUUUGAGGUGAUGCUAUUAUUUAUUUAUAUUUAAAAAAUUGUCAGCCCAUUCCUCUGGACAGGUAGGUCUAGAAUGGACACCAGAAAUCUGUAUUAUGACCAGAUGAUGUUUUUAUACCAGCCAUGUUUGGAAACUGCCUAAUCAGAUUAAUGUGAAGUGUUCUUCCACCUCUUAAGUCUAAUUUCUGAUAAAAUAUUAUGUCACUUUAACAAAUCAUAAAUGGCAAAAUACAUUUUCAUUUGUUUUAAAAAGUGCAUUCACUAUGUCCUAAAGCAGGGGUCCCCAACCCCCGGGCUGCGAAACAGUAGCAGUCUGUGGCCUGUUAGGAACCGGGCCACACAACGGGACAUGAGCAGUGGGCAAAUGAGCUGAGCUCUGCCUACUGUCAGAUUAGCAGAGCCAUUAGAUUUUCAUAGGAGCGGGAACCCUAUUGUGAACUGAGCAUGCAAGGCAUGUAGGUUGCCCGCUCCUUAUGAGAAUCUAAUGCCUGAUGAUGUGAAGUGGGACAGUUUCAUCCCCAAACCACCCAUCUGCUAACGCUCACCCGCCUCUGCUCCCCAUUCGUGGGAAAAUUUUCUUCCAUGAAACUGGUCCCUGGUGCCAAAAAGGUUGGGAACCCCUGGCCAGAAGGAUAAAUCUUUAAGUGUAAUAAUACCAAGAUGUGGAUCUUCGUAACUUGGCUCAUAGAUAUAUAUCAACAAAUAAUUGUGAUUUUAAUUGCAAUAUCAUAAAAUUUAUUUACAGAUAGUCCUAGGGGUACAUCAGAUAAUCUCUCUGCCAGAGACUAUUUCUACAUAAAAAUUAUAUAACUGAAAGAUUUUCUCACACUGCUUACAUUUAAAUAACAUUUUGAUUUGAGAUUCAGCUUUUACUAAGAAAGCUAAUAUUAUUUAUCUAUUUUUUUGCCUCAAAGUCUUUUCUAUUUCUUGAUUAGACUCACCUAACAUAUUAUGGUCUGCAUGACAGUUUAAUCUUGGCACUGUCUGUAAUUAAGUUAUAAUUAGUUUAAAGAUGAACUUUAGUGAAUCUGUAAAACAUUCUUAUCUGAUCGACCUAUUAAUUUUGUCCUUUCUUAGGUCAAGUUGCCACUAUUUAUGAUUAAUUUUUGUGUAGGCUUAGUCUCACAAACUAAAUGUACUAUUCAUAGGUUUGAAUAAUUUAAUACUCAACAAUGUGAAGAUAGGUUAAACUGCAUAUAAAUUUAUGAAGGACAAGAUUGCUUUUGAAACUAAACCUUGAAAAAUUUGAAACUUGAAAAUAUUGUAAUCUUUAAUGUGAUACGAAUAAACAGCCUUUAUUCACUAAUGACAGUUUUUAGACUCCAAAGAUGCAAGAGCUGAACAGAAACUUCCUGAGGCUAUUUUAUCAUUGUGUUUGGCAACAUUAUGACCAUUGAUAUUCCGAGAGAUAAUGUGUCAUCUGACAGGACACAGAACAGCAAGAACAUUUAGUCUGAUGUUUGUAUCAGCAGGAUGAAUAUAGUAAUAUUUUUAUUGUGACCAUGUCACCUACAAUUUGCAAAUGACUGUAUAAGGAACUUUCCUAUUUACUGCCUCCUGCAAUAAACUAAAAUGAAG